GGGGUGGCUAAACACGUGCCAGAAGCCUCGGUAAUACGUGUGCCCCAAGUGUUAUCCGGAAUUAUUGGGCGUAAAGCGUCCGCAGGCUGUUUUGUUAGUCUUCUCUUAAAUCUCUGGGCUCAACCCAGAGGCUGGGGAAGAAACGGCAAGACUAGAGGAUGUCAGAGGUAGCUGGAAUUCAUCGAGUAGGAGUGAAAUCCGUUGAUACGAUGGAGAACACCAAAGGCGAAGGCAGGCUACUGGGGCAUUCCUGACGCUCAGGGACGAAAGCUAGGGGAGUGAAGGAGAUUAGAUACCUCCGUAAUCCUAGCUGUAAACGAUGCCCGCUAGCUGUAUAGAGUAUCGACCCUCUAUGUGGCGAAGCUAACGCAUUAAGCGGGCCGCCUGGGAAGUACGGCCGCAAGGCUAAAACUUAAAGGAAUAGACGGGGAUUCGCACAAGCGGUGGAGCGUGUGGCUUAAUUCGAUAUUAAGCGAAGAACCUUACCUGGACUUGACAUCCUGGAUAGGCCUCCGAAACGAGGUCGUGCCUUCGGGAAUCCAGUGACAGGCACUGCAUGGUUGCCGUCAGUUCGUGCCGUGAGGUGUUCCGUUAAGUCGGGAAACGAACGUAACCCUUAUCGUGUGUUACAAGUGUCACGCGAGACUGCCCGCGCCAAGUGGGAGGAAGGUGGGGAUGACGUCAAAUCAGCAUGGUCCUUUGAUGUCCAGGGCUGCACACGCGCUA
rnacentral:rRNA from 1 species